rnacentral:sRNA from 2 species
GUGCAGCGCGCCUAGGGAUCCGGUCGGAAACGACGCAGGACCGAGAGGUGCAAGCCGGACGAGGGUGUAAGCCAACAUAGUCCGGUAACACGGCGGGAUAAAAACCCGGGAGAC